rnacentral:rRNA from 1 species
GAUGAACGCUGGCGGCGUGCUUAACACAUGCAAGUCGAACGGAACUCAUUGGAUCAAGACUUCGGUCAAGUGAAUUUGAGUUUAGUGGCGGACGGGUGAGUAACGCGUGAGGAACCUGCCUCGGAGUGGGGAAUAACAGUUGGAAACGACUGCUAAUACCGCAUAAUGCAUAUUGAUCGCAUGGUCGAUAUGCCAAAGAUUUAUCGCUCUGAGAUGGCCUCGCGUCUGAUUAGCUAGUUGGCGGGGUAAUGGCCCACCAAGGCGACGAUCAGUAGCCGGACUGAGAGGUUGGCCGGCCACAUUGGGACUGAGACACGGCCCAG